AACCUGGUUGAUCCUGCCAGUAGUCAUAUGCUUGUCUCAAAGAUUAAGCCAUGCAUGUCUAAGUACAUGCCGAAAUAAGGCGAAACCGCGAAUGGCUCAUUAAAUCAGUUAUGGUUCCUUAGAUCGUUUCUUCCUACUUGGAUAACUGUGGCAAUUCUAGAGCUAAUACAUGCAGUGAGCCUGGAGCCCUUUGGGUAACGGGUGCUUUUAUUAGACCAAGAUCGAUCGGGUUUCGGCCCGUAUUGUGUGGUGACUCUGGAUAACUUUGUGCUGAUCGCAUGGCCACGAGCCGGCGACGUUUCUUUCAAGUGUCUGCCUUAUCAACUUUCGAUGGUAGGUUACUUGCUUACCAUGGUUGUUACGGGUAACGGAGAAUCAGGGUUCGAUUCCGGAGAGGGAGCCUGAGAAACGGCUACCACAUCCAAGGAAGGCAGCAGGCGCGCAAAUUACCCACUCCCGGCACGGGGAGGUAGUGACGAAAAAUAACAAUACGGGACUCUUUUGAGGCCCCGUAAUUGAAAUGAGUACACUCUAAAUCCUUUAACGAGGAUCAAUUGGAGGGCAAGUCUGGUGCCAGCAGCCGCGGUAAUUCCAGCUCCAAUAGCGUAUACUAAAGCUGCUGCGGUUAAAAAGCUCGUAGUUGGAUCUCAGUUCCAGACGAGUAGUGCAUCUACCCGAUGCGACGGCUCGGACUGAACAUCAUGCCGGUUCUUUCUUGGUGCACUUCAUUGUGUGCCUCGAGAUGGCCGGUGCUUUUACUUUGAAAAAAUUAGAGUGCUCAACGCAGGCGAGUCGCCUGAAUAAACUUGCAUGGAAUAAUAGAACAAGACCUCGUUUCUGUUCUGUUGGUUUUUGGAAUACGAGGUAAUGAUUAAGAGGGACGGACGGGGGCAUUCGUAUUGCGGCGCUAGAGGUGAAAUUCUUGGACCGUCGCAAGACGAACUACUGCGAAAGCAUUUGCCAAGAAUGUUUUCAUUGAUCAAGAACGAAAGUCAGAGGUUCGAAGGCGAUCAGAUACCGCCCUAGUUCUGACCAUAAACGAUGCCAACCAGCGAUCCGCCUGAGUUACUCAAAUGACUCGGCGGGCAGCUUCCGGGAAACCAAAGUAUUUGGGUUCCGGGGGAAGUAUGGUUGCAAAGCUGAAACUUAAAGGAAUUGACGGAAGGGCACCACCAGGAGUGGAGCCUGCGGCUUAAUUUGACUCAACACGGGAAAACUUACCCGGCCCGGACACUGGGAGGAUCGACAGAUUGAGAGCUCUUUCUUGAUUCGGUGGAUGGUGGUGCAUGGCCGUUCUUAGUUGGUGGAGCGAUUUGUCUGGUUAAUUCCGAUAACGAACGAGACUCUAGCCUAUUAAAUAGGUGCGGGGUUCCCAGCACCUUACAACCUUCUUAGAGGGACAAGCGGCUCCUAGCCGCACGAAACAGAGCAAUAACAGGUCUGUGAUGCCCUUAGAUGUCCGGGGCCGCACGCGCGCUACACUGAAGGAAGCAGCGUGUCUUUAUCCCUGUCUGAAAAGACUGGGUAACCCGUGGAACUUCUUUCGUGAUUGGGAUAGGGGCUUGCAAUUGUUCCCCUUGAACGAGGAAUUCCCAGUAAGCGCGAGUCAUAAGCUCGCGUUGAUUACGUCCCUGCCCUUUGUACACACCGCCCGUCGCUACUACCGAUUGAAUGAUUUAGUGAGGUCUUCGGACCGAUGUCCGGCGCGGCCUUUCGGUUGCGCCGGUCUGUUGGAAAGAUGACCAAACUUGAUCAUUUAGAGGAAGUAAAAGUCGUAACAAGGGUUCCGUAGGUGAACCUGCAGAAGGAUCA
rnacentral:rRNA from 1 species